rnacentral:rRNA from 1 species
GAAGUGCGAAUGCUGACAUGAGUAACGACAAAGGGGGUGAAAAACCUCCUCGCCGGAAGACCAAGGGUUCCUGUCCAACGUUAAUCGGGGCAGGGUGAGUCGACCCCUAAGGUGAGGCCGAAAGGCGUAAUCGAUGGGAAACGGGUUAAUAUUCCCGUACUUCUGACUAUUGCGAUGGGGGGACGGAGAAGGCUAGGUGGGCCAGGCGACGGUUGUCCUGGUUCAAGUGCGUAGGCUUGAGAGUUAGGUAAAUCCGGCUCUCUCUAAGGCUGAGACACGACGUCGAGCUACUACGGUAGUGAAGUCAUUGAUGCCAUGCUUCCAGGAAAAGCCUCUAAGCUUCAGAUAGUCAGGAAUCGUACCCCAAACCGACACAGGUGGUCGGGUAGAGAAUACCAAGGCGCUUGAGAGAACUCGGGUGAAGGAACUAGGCAAAAUGGUACCGUAACUUCGGGAGAAGGUACGCUCUUGAUGGUGAAGUCCCUCGCGGAUGGAGCUGACGAGAGUCGCAGAUACCAGGUGGCUGCAACUGUUUAUUAAAAACACAGCACUGUGCAAAAUCGCAAGAUGACGUAUACGGUGUGACGCCUGCCCGGUGCCGGAAGGUUAAUUGAUGGGGUUAGCGCAAGCGAAGCUCUUGAUCGAAGCCCCGGUAAACGGCGGCCGUAACUAUAACGGUCCUAAGGUAGCGAAAUUCCUUGUCGGGUAAGUUCCGACCUGCACGAAUGGCGUAAUGAUGGCCACGCUGUCUCCACCCGAGACUCAGUGAAAUUGAAAUCGCUGUGAAGAUGCAGUGUACCCGCGGCUAGACGGAAAGACCCCGUGAACCUUUACUACAGCUUGGCACUGAACAUUGAACCUACAUGUGUAGGAUAGGUGGGAGGCUAUGAAGACGUGACGCCAGUUGCGUUGGAGCCGUCCUUGAAAUACCACCCUUGUAUGUUUGAUGUUCUAACUUAGACCCAUUAUCUGGGUUGAGGACAGUGCCUGGUGGGUAGUUUGACUGGGGCGGUCUCCUCCCAAAGAGUAACGGAGGAGCACGAAGGUGGGCUAAUCACGGUUGGACAUCGUGAGGUUAGUGCAAUGGCAUAAGCCCGCUUAACUGCGAGAAUGACGGUUCGAGCAGGUGCGAAAGCAGGUCAUAGUGAUCCGGUGGUUCUGUAUGGAAGGGCCAUCGCUCAACGGAUAAAAGGUACUCCGGGGAUAACAGGCUGAUACCGCCCAAGAGUUCAUAUCGACGGCGGUGUUUGGCACCUCGAUGUCGGCUCAUCACAUCCUGGGGCUGAAGUCGGUCCCAAGGGUAUGGCUGUUCGCCAUUUAAAGUGGUACGCGAGCUGGGUUUAGAACGUCGUGAGACAGUUCGGUCCCUAUCUGCCGUGGGCGUUGGAAGAUUGAAGGGGGCUGCUCCUAGUACGAGAGGACCGGAGUGGACGAACCUCUGGUGUUCGGGUUGUGUCGCCAGACGCAUUGCCCGGUAGCUAAGUUCGGAAUUGAUAAGCGCUGAAAGCAUCUAAGCGCGAAGCGAGCCCUGAGAUGAGUCUUCCCUGACAGUUUAACUGUCCUAAAGGGUUGUUCGAGACUAGAACGUUGAUAGGCAGGGUGUGUAAGCGUUGUGAGGCGUUGAGCUAACCUGUACUAAUUGCCCGUGAGGCUUAACCAUACAACACCCAAGGGGUUUUGUA